AACGAACGCUGGCGGCAGGCUUAACACAUGCAAGUCGAGCGCCCCGCAAGGGGAGCGGCAGACGGGUGAGUAACGCGUGGGAAUCUACCCAUCCCUACGGAAUAGCUCCGGGAAACUGGAAUUAAUACCGUAUACGCCCUACGGGGGAAAGAUUUAUCGGGGAUGGAUGAGCCCGCGUUGGAUUAGCUAGUUGGUGGGGUAAAGGCCUACCAAGGCGACGAUCCAUAGCUGGUCUGAGAGGAUGAUCAGCCACAUUGGGACUGAGACACGGCCCAAACUCCUACGGGAGGCAGCAGUGGGGAAUAUUGGACAAAGGGGGCAACCCUGAUCCAGCCAUGCCGCGUGAGUGAUGAAGGCCUUAGGGUUGUAAAGCUCUUUCACCGGGGAAGAUAAUGACGGUACCCGGAGAAGAAGCUCCGGCUAACAUCGUGCCAGCCGCCGCAGUAA
rnacentral:rRNA from 1 species